rnacentral:rRNA from 1 species
GACGAACGCUGGCGGCGUGCCUAAUACAUGCAAGUAGAACGCUGAAGGAGGAGCUUGCUUCUCCGGAUGAGUUGCGAACGGGUGAGUAACGCGUAGGUAACCUGCCUGGUAGCGGGGGAUAACUAUUGGAAACGAUAGCUAAUACCGCAUAACAGUAGAUGUUGCAUGACAUUUGCUUAAAAGGUGCAAUUGCAUCACUACCAGAUGGACCUGCGUUGUAUUAGCUAGUUGGUGAGGUAACGGCUCACCAAGGCGACGAUACAUAGCCGACCUGAGAGGGUGAUCGGCCACACUGGGACUGAGACACGGCCCAGACUCCUACGGGAGGCAGCAGUAGGGAAUCUUCGGCAAUGGACGGAAGUCUGACCGAGCAACGCCGCGUGAGUGAAGAAGGUUUUCGGAUCGUAAAGCUCUGUUGUAAGAGAAGAACGAGUGUGAGAGUAGAAAGUUCACACUGUGACGGUAUCUUACCAGAAAGGGACGGCUAACUACGUG